rnacentral:rRNA from 1 species
GGAGUCAGACAGUGUGAGAUAAGUUUCAUUGUCGAAAGGGAAACAGCCCAGACCCACAGCUAAGGUCCCAAAGUAUCGUUAAGUGGAAAAGGAUGUGGAACUGCCCAGACAACCAGGAUGUUGGCUCAGAAGCAGCCAUACAUUCAAAGAGUGCGUAAUAGCUCACUGGUCGAGUGGUUCUGCGCCGAAAAUUUAACGGGGCUAAACGAUACACCGAAGCUUGGGAUGCAGCAUUGGCUGCAUGGUAGGAGAGCGUUCUGUACGGGGUGAAGUCAUAGCGGAAGCGGUGGUGGACUGUACAGAAGAGAGAAUGCCGGAAUGAGUAGCGAGAUUUAUGUGAGAAUCAUAAAGGCCGAAAGACUAAGGAUUUAGAAGGAAGGUUCGUCCGCUUCUAGUUAGCCGGGAGCUAAGGCGAGGCCGAAAGGCGUAGUCGAUGCACAUACGGUGGAGAUUCCGUAGCCGCCUCUUAAUUUAAGCAAAGGGACACUUUCAAAGGGAAUGACCCGGGCGUUGGUAGCCCCGGGCGAAAGGGACCGAAAUUAGAGUAGGGAAGCAUUUCUGGAGGAAGGCGAGAAAAGCUUUGCGGAUAGAGAGAGGCGCCCGUACCGCAAACCGACACAGGUAGUCAGGAAGAGGAUUCUAAGGCCAACGGGAGAAGGGUAGUUAAGGAACUCGGCAAAUUGACCCCGUAACUUCGGAAUAAGGGGUGCUCCUGAAAAGGAGCCGCAGUGAAUAGGCCCAGGCGACUGUUUAUCAAAAACACAGCUCUCUGCUAAAUCGAAAGAUGAAGUAUAGGGGGUGACACCUGCCCGGUGCUGGAAGGUUAAGAGGAAGGGUGCAAGCUCUGAAUUGAAGCCCCAGUAAACGGCGGCCGUAACUAUAACGGUCCUAAGGUAGCGAAAUUCCUUGUCGGGUAAGUUCCGACCCGCACGAAUGGUGUAACGAUCUGGGCACUGUCUCAACUACCCACCCGGCGAAAUUGUAGUACCGGUGAAGAUGCCGGUUACCCGCGGCAAGACGGAAAGACCCCAUGGAGCUUUACUGUAGCCUGAUAUUGGGUUUCGGUAUUCUAUGUACAGGAUAGGCGGGAGACUGGGAACCGAUGGCGUCAGCUGUCGGGGAGUCACCCUUGGGAUACCGCUCUUAGAGUACUGGAAUUCUAACCUGCGGCCGUGAAUCCGGCCGGGGGACAUUGUUAG